rnacentral:rRNA from 1 species
UACGGGGGGGGCAAGCGUUGUUCGGAAUUACUGGGCGUAAAGGGUUCGUAGGUGGCCUGCUAAGUCAGACGUGAAAUCCCUCAGCUUAACUGGGGAACUGCGUCUGAGACUGGUGGGCUUGAGUGCAGGAGAGGAACGCGGAAUUCCAGGUGUAGCGGUGAAAUGCGUAGAUAUCUGGAGGAACACCGGUGGCGAAGGCGGCGUUCUGGACUGCUACUGACACUGAGGCGCGACAGCGUGGGGAGCAAACAGG